rnacentral:lncRNA from 1 species
GUCUUCUUUCAAGAUGUGUUCUCUUGGCAUUUCAAGGUUUCAAUGCUCUCAAGCAAUUCAUCUUUUGGUCUUGACUGGUUUCAGAAAUUGGUGCUUUCAAACAAGGUAUGCUUAGGCAUGCAUACUGAUAUGAAGAUCUGUAGAGCAAAAAACUAUACUCCACACAAUGAUUCAUUGUUGAUUUCUAAUAGAAGAGUUUGCCAAUUAUUGCCUUGAAACAUGGUGGAUUGCUUGUGGAGCGCCUGAGAUCUCCAAAAGCCUAAAGAGAUGUUUUCAUUGUUUGAGAAAGGUUGCUAUUCAUGGGCUGCUAGUAAUUAUGGGUAAGGAACCUGCACAAUAGGAGAAGCUUCUUUUGUGGAAGCAAUUUUUCUCUUAAACUUUGUUAUUUAUUAUUUUAUAAUUAUCUGUUGUUUAUGAUGCAUGUUAAAACAUAAAGGAAGAAGAAAGAAAUAAUGAGAUUUUUACUUAUCGUUUUCUUUUUUCAAACCCAUUUUCUAAUAGAAAAAUCUCAAAUAAUAUAUAUGUAUUUUUUUUUUUUACUUUUAAUAUAAUAUAAACUAUGUGAAAGGAGAUUCGAACUCGAGUGCAGAAUGAGGCACAUCAGCUCUAACCAAUUUAGUUAAGUAUAUAUAUGCAAAUAAUAUAUAUUAAAAAAAAACAAUUAAUCAUGUUAUCAA